UAGAUGGUCAACAUUAAAAAUCUAAUCUUAUCCUAAGAAGGAAAACGGGAAAUUGGCGGCUUUUGAUUCCCACUUUACCUCCCUGAAAAUAUUUUUAGGGUUUCAUUGACGUAGAACACUCUCGACUUCUAUUUUCGAUUUCGUAAAGUGAACUCCACAUCCACAAUAGAACCGGUUUCCGGCCCUUCCCUCCAAACAACCGGUUCAUUCUAGUUUCCCAGAACUUUUGGGGAUUUGGGACUUUGAUUUUAUAUGUUUGGCUUUGAUGCCUUUUUAGAGGUUUCGUAAUUCCUGCUAUUUUUCAAAGGGAGAGCAGGGGUUAUCUAUGGUCUAGAUGUGUCAAAAAAGUUUGGAGAUUUCUUCUGCAUAUAGUAUUGACUUUUGUGUUCUCUGUAAAAUAGACGGUUUGAAGCAAAUUUGCUUUGCCUAAGAAGAUAGGAUGCCAUCUGCUUUGUUUUUGAAGAUGAGGAGUGCGGUUCGGAAUGGAAUCCAGAGAACAGAAUGCGAGCUACAAGAUUCACUUGAAAUUCUGAUUGGAAAAGGGAAGCUAGGGUUUAGAAAUUACAGGUUUUUUCAUUCUUCAAGUCUCUCAGGACUUGCUGAUUUGCAAGGAUUUUUUCCAAGUGGGACAGUUUUGGCUGCAUGCUCAGAUUCUCUAUCAGUUAAUUGUGGAAGGAACAUUUCUGCUGUGGGCGCAUUUUCUCGAACUGUUUUUGUUCCAUCUGUUUCAGGCCCUGCCUUCCAGGUUUGUAGGUAUCAUAUUGAUUGUGCACUUGUUGACUCCAGCCAAAUACCACCCCCUUUGAGCAAAUGUCAGAGUAAUCCUAUGGCUGUUUCUAGUUCUGGAGUUGCAAUUGGUGGAUUUGUUGAUUCAUUGAAGUUAAAGCAUGGGCACCUUUCAUCGUCUGCAAGUAGUGCUGAUAUACUUUAUGGCAACAGAAGCAUACAUCCUAGAAUAAGUUUGAAAAAUCUUGAGAAACCUAACAAUUAUGCAAUCUAUGGACAGCUCUUGCAUAGUGUUGGAAAAAAAUGGUGCAACUGUAAUCUUUCCUCAGGGUCAGGUUCAAGGGCUUUCCACAGUUCAUUGCCUUCUUGUUUAUCAGCUGGGACAGCCCGUGAUGUUUCCUUUGAUAAUUCUGGACGUGAAGAACAGGUUACCAGUUCAGAAGAGAAGAUUUCUGCUGGCAAAACUCUGAAGCUGCUCUCAGGUUCUUGCUAUCUUCCCCAUCCUGAUAAAGAAGAUACUGGAGGAGAGGAUGCUCAUUUCAUAUGCGCGGAUAAACAAGCAAUAGGUGUAGCGGAUGGAGUUGGUGGCUGGGCUGAUCUGGGUAUUGAUGCAGGUCAGUUUUCUAGGGAGCUCAUGUCUAAAUCUGUAUCUGCUAUCCAAGAGGAGCCUAAGGGUUCAAUCAACCCUGCAAGAGUCUUAGAGAAAGCUCACUCUAGCAUAAAGGCAAAAGGCUCCUCAACAGCAUGUGUCAUAGCACUUGGAGACCAGGGACUUCAUGCUAUAAACUUGGGGGACAGUGGUUUUAUGGUGGUUCGGGAUGGAUGUACUAUAUUUAGAUCCCCUGUUCAGCAGCAUGAUUUUAACUUCACAUAUCAACUUGAGAGUGGAAAUAAUGCUGAUUUACCGAGCUCCGGUCAGAUCUUUGCAGUUCCCAUCGCUCCAGGAGAUGUUAUCAUUGCUGGCACGGAUGGACUGUUUGAUAACUUGUACAAUAAUGAAAUUACUGCAGUGGUGGUUCAUGCACUGAGAGCUGGUUUUGGGCCUGAAGUGACUGCUCAGAAGAUAGCAGCAUUGGCACGAGAACGAGCACAGGCUAAAGAUAGACAAACUCCUUUCUCAACUGCGGCACAAGAUGCUGGGUUCCGUUACUAUGGUGGAAAACUUGAUGACAUAACUGUUGUUGUGUCAUAUGUUACUAGCUCUGAUGAAGCUUCAAGCAAAAAGAGUUGAAUUCUGAGCAGUUGCCUUCCAGUUGACCUACAUCGAAAUGAACAUUGGGAGUGACACCAUUUACUCAGAACAAGGCUUGAUGAGGAUUUGGAGCUUUUGUAGCCAGGAAACUUGAGUUGGCUGGCUUGAUUUGUGGCCAUCCAGUUGUCUUUUGUUUGUUUUGGUUUUUUGUCACACUGAUUCCUUUUAUGUUCGUGGAGUGAAGUGAGAUGAUAUGCUCUCCAUGUUCAACACCUCUCAUUAUUGUAAUUAAUAAUAAAUAAUACACUAAUAUCGUUCCAUUAGUAUACGAAAUCCUCAGUAAACAAAGGACUAUUCUGUUCAUUUGAAA